UACGAAGGGGGCUAGCGUUGCUCGGAAUCACUGGGCGUAAAGCGCACGUAGGCGGCUUUCUAAGUCAGGGGUGAAAUCCUGGAGCUCAACUCCAGAACUGCCUUUGAUACUGGAGAGCUUGAGUCCGGAAGAGGUGAGUGGAACUCCGAGUGUAGAGGUGAAAUUCGUAGAUAUUCGGAAGAACACCAGUGGCGAAGGCGACUUACUGGACACAUAUUGACGCUGAGGUGCGAAAGCGUGGGGAGCAAACGGG
rnacentral:rRNA from 1 species